rnacentral:rRNA from 1 species
UACGGGGGGGGCAAGCGUUGUUCGGAAUUACUGGGCGUAAAGGGCUCGUAGGUGGCCAACUAAGUCAGACGUGAAAUCCCCAGGCUUAACCUGGGAACUGCGUCUGAUACUGGAUGGCUUGAGUUCGGGAGAGGGAUGCGGAAUUCCAGGUGUAGCGGUGAAAUGCGUAGAUAUCUGGAGGAACACCGGUGGCGAAGGCGGCAUCCUGGACCGACACUGACACUGAGGAGCGAAAGCCAGGGGAGCAAACGGG